AUAUCAGAGGGGUCAGGUUCGCCUGACUAUGAUCGUAGAGGCAGAGUGGAAUAAGCGUUUAGGACGCGGGUUCAAUUCCCGCCGCCUCCACCACGAACACAUGGCGGUUGAGACCGGCUGGUGUGUUUCUGAUGGGGGCGACUUGGGUUCGACUGGGCGCGGUAAAGACUAGGCUGCGAUUAGGCUGAGCUACGGCCUUGAUAGUGCAAAUUCACAAAUGCCAACGACAACGUUGACAUGGGUGCGGUGCGCCUCGCGGCGUAACCAUCCGGGGCUCGGGAAAGCCUAGCAACAGAAACGGCACCUUCGGGUGCCGUUCCCAUUUCCGCUCCGUUCUGGAAUUGCCUUACGACGC
rnacentral:tmRNA from 1 species